UUUGAAUAAAUAAGAUCUUGUAAAUUCAAUACAAGAUUAUAAAACUGGGAAUUGUUUCCUCCAACAACUGCUUUUAGCCGGCGAUGCCACUCUUC